rnacentral:lncRNA from 1 species
GCUGCAUACCAGGUGUGUUGAAUUGUUCCAACAAUGAAACUACAUCUAUAACCACCAUCUGCUUAGAUUUACAGUAGUCACUGUCUUUCUUCAAGACGCAUCUUUCAUAAGGCCCAACUCACCUUCCACCUGGAUUACAUAACAAACCACUCCAAUGUCCUGAGGGUAGCAAAGCUUGCAUCUUCAAGAAAUGGAAACAAAAGCCAGUGCAGUUGAAGAUAAAGAGCAAGGAGAAGAAUGUCAGAAGAUGAGGUCAGAAAGGCAAAUUCCAAUAAAUGGACGUCCUACAAUAGACCUGACCAGUACUCCUCAAAACGGUUAAGGUUAUCAAAAAGAGGAAAGUCUGAGAAACUGUCACAGCCAAGAGGAGUCUAAGGAGGCAUGAUAAUUAAAUGUAAUGUGGUGUCCUGGAUGGGACCCUGAAACAGAAAAAGGGCAUUACGUAAACACUAAGGAGAUCUGAAUAAACUAUGAACUUUA